rnacentral:rRNA from 1 species
GGGAGGUAGUGACAAUAAAUAACAAUACAGGGCUCUUACGGGUCUUGUAAUUGGAAUGAGUACAAUUUAAAUCCCUUAACGAGGAACAAUUGGAGGGCAAGUCUGGUGCCAGCAGCCGCGGUAAUUCCAGCUCCAAUAGCGUAUAUUAAAGUUGUUGCAGUUAAAAAGCUCGUAGUUGAAUUUCGGGAUUCUACCGUUGGUCGGGCUAACAAGUCUGUACUGGUGUGUAGAAUUUCUACCUUCUGGGGAACUAUCAUGUUAUUAAUUUAGCGUGGUGGGAAACCAGGACCUUUACCUUGAAAAAUUAGAGUGUUCAAAGCAGGCUUACGUCUGAAUACAUUAGCAUGGAAUAAUAGAAUAGGACGGUGGUCCUGUUUUGUUGGUUUCUGAAUCACCGUAAUGAUUAAUAGGGAUAGUUGGG